AACGAACGCUGGCGGCAGGCCUAACACAUGCAAGUCGAGCGAGAUCUUCGGGUCUAGCGGCGGACGGGUGAGUAACGCGUGGGAAUAUGCCUCUUGGUACGGAAUAGCCUCGGGAAACUGGGAGUAAUACCGUAUGUGCCCUUCGGGGGCAAGAUUUAUCGCCAAGGGAUAAGCCCGCGUUGGAUUAGGUAGUUGGUGGGGUAAUGGCCUACCAAGGCGACGAUCCAUAGCUGGUUUGAGAGAAUGAUCAGCCACACUGGGACUGAGACACGGCCCAGACUCCUACGGGAGGCAGCAGUGGGGAAUCUUAGACAAUGGGGGCAACCCUGAUCUAGCCAUGCCGCGUGAGUGAUGAAGGCCUUAGGGUUGUAAAGCUCUUUCAGCUGGGAAGAUAAUGACGGUACCAGCAGAAGAAGCCCCGGCUAACUCCGUG
rnacentral:rRNA from 1 species